AUUGAACGCUGGCGGCAUGCCUUACACAUGCAAGUCGAACGGUAACGGGCCUUCGGGUGCCGACGAGUGGCGAACGGGUGAGUAAUGCAUCGGAACGUACCUUUCAGUGGGGGAUAACGUAGCGAAAGUUACGCUAAUACCGCAUAUUCUGUGAGCAGGAAAGCAGGGGAUCGCAAGACCUUGCGCUGAUUGAGCGGCCGAUGUCAGAUUAGCUAGUUGGUGAGGUAAAGGCUCACCAAGGCGACGAUCUGUAGCGGGUCUGAGAGGAUGAUCCGCCACACUGGAACUGAGACACGGUCCAGACUCCUACGGGAGGCAGCAGUGGGGAAUUUUGGACAAUGGGGGCAACCCUGAUCCAGCCAUGCCGCGUGAGUGAAGAAGGCCUUCGGGUUGUAAAGCUACUUUUGUCGGGGUACGAAACGGUUUACGACCUAAUACGUGAGACUACUGACGGUACCCGAAGAACUAAGCACCGGCUAACUACGUGCCAGCAGCCG
rnacentral:rRNA from 1 species